UACAGAGGUCUCAAGCGUUGUUCGGAUUCAUUGGGCGUAAAGGGUGCGUAGGCGGCGCGGUAAGUCGGGUGUGAAAUCUCGGAGCUUAACUCCGAAACUGCAUUCGAUACUGCCGUGCUUGAGGACUGGAGAGGAGACUGGAAUUUACGGUGUAGCGGUGAAAUGCGUAGAUAUCGUAAGGAAGACCAGUGGCGAAGGCGGGUCUCUGGGCCUGUCCUGACGCUGAGGCGCGAAAGCUAGGGGAGCGAACAGG
rnacentral:rRNA from 1 species